UACGGAGGGUGCGAGCGUUGUCCGGAAUCACUGGGCGUAAAGGGCGCGUAGGCGGCCUGAUAAGUAGGGGGUGAAAUCCUGCGGCUUAACCGCAGGGCUGCCUUCUAAACUGUCAGGCUGGAGCACAGUAGAGGCAGGUGGAAUUCUUGGUGUAGCGGUGAAAUGCGUAGAUAUCAAGAGGAACACCUGAGGUGAAGACGGGUUGCUGGGCCGACACUGACGCUGAGUGCGCGAAAGCCAGGGGAGCAAACGGG
rnacentral:rRNA from 1 species